UGUCAGCAGUCAGAGGGGUAGGAGCAGGAGCUAGGAUGAUAUGGAUCUUCAAGAACAAGCAUAAAUAGAAAACCGAAGGGAAUGCACAUACCACAUUUUUACUUGACGAGGUAUGAAGUGCUAAUGUCCUGCCCUGGGGGUUGGAUGUAUCUAAAUGCUGUUAACUAGCAUGGUGGAGGGAACAAGGUACUGGACUCAGACUCGAGAAAGCUGGCUUCUACAAAGAGCUCUACUGCUAAUCUACUCUGUGAUCUGGGACUUGCUGAAGAAUGCUUCAUGUUCGAAACCUUGUCGAAGUCGAUCCCAACUGUGCGGUUGGUCCAAUAAAAGAUAUCACCCACAAAAAUCCUAGCCUCUCGCAUAAUUCCUGGACCAGCAUGGCUACAAAAUCACUCCAACAUAGCCUGACUGAUGGCAGUUAAGGAAAAACAGAGUACCCUUUCCAAAGAGUGGGGAUGUCACGCAUUGAAACUUUAGCUCCCUUGACAACAUGCACCACCGCCAAGACUAGCUGCACAUUCAGGCGAAUUCAGUGCACAGACACACUCCACAAGCAACAGCAAACACUUCCAGGACAUUUUAGACAUAUGUGCCUUUCCUCCCAUGACUUGAUGCUAAAGUGCCAUGCAGGAAAGUGCCAACGUUAUUCAGAGGAGGUAUUGUGGAAAAUGAUUAAUCAUGUAAUUUAUUUCUCAGGUUUGUGGUGUGCUUUUAUUUUGCUCAGAAAAGUUUAUUAAUACCUCCCAGUGUGAAAUGCAGUCAGAGAGGUCACAUAUGAGUGCAUCAUUUCUUGAAAUGCAGCUAGAUCCCUAAUUAAAGCAAAUCUAGUUUGUUCAGGUUAUCAGUCUGAAAAAUAAUUUUUGGGUACUGUGUUUUCUGUUCUCUGACGACACACCAGGAGACUCCCAGGCUUGGGUCUGCACACACAGCUAACAGAAAACUCCCCGAACUGAAGUGCUAACAUCAGUUCUCCAGAAGGGGGCUUCAUGCAUUCCCCGCAUCACCAGAAAAGCUCCUUCUUAUUAUCAGCAAUAAGAAGUGAAGUAGCAGACAGAAGCACUGGGGACAGCUGUAGCUUCCCUUUCAAAGCAGCCAGCAGCACCUCCACCUGCUGCAGCUAAUGACUUCAGAAAUAAAGCUGGAUUUACAGAAACAUUCAGCACUGGCCUGCUAAAGUCAGAGGGAACAGGGUUAUGCCAACACAGCACUUUGCAAAACAGUACCUAUG